rnacentral:rRNA from 1 species
ACCUGGCGACAGGGAGCGGAACCCGAAAGCCUGUCUCAGUUCGGAUUGGAGUCUGCAACCCGACUCCAUGAAGCUGGACUCGCUAGUAAUCGCGCAUCAGCCACGGCGCGGUGAAUACGUUCCCGGGCCUUGUACACACCGCCCGUCACACCAUGGGAGUCGGUAACACCCGAAGUCGGUGGUCUAACCGCAAGGAGGACGCCGCCGAAGGUGGGAUUGAUGACUGGGGUGAAGUCGUAACAAGGUAAC